ACAUGCCUACAACAUAGUGUUAAUGCACCAGAUCCCAUUAGAACUCCGCAGUUAAGUGGGCUCAGGCUACAGUAGUACUAGGAUGGGUGACCACCCGGGAAGUCCUAGUAUUUUACAUGCC
rnacentral:rRNA from 1 species